CCGGAGCAGCGCUCUAACCAACUGAGCUACAGAGGCCAGCUGUUGAGCUGUAACCGUAAGUUCAUGUAUAUAUAGGUAAUCGGGUGAGCGGGUUGUGAUAAGGUGGACUUGAAUAACUUAGUUCUUGCACUUCACUUGGUGGAAUUAAUAUUAGGAUGUUAGGGUUUGUAAUCCAAGUGAGAAUAUAUACAUUUUAAGACCUAACCAGGAACGACUGCGAAAAAUGCAGCACAAUUGCGAUUAUAUAUGCCCGAAGUUGGUUGUUAAAAGCCACAAUGCGACCCAGUGCGUCCUCCUUUUUUUACUUGUCUAACGCCAGACGAUUUUAAUCGUCAGGCAUGGGAAGCUCUGUAGCUUAAUGGGUUAAUGCUAGUCUGGGAAUUUCUUUAUUUGUAUUCUGUUAAUUUCUAUCGUCCAGUAUUAACCAGGUUAUAAGCUAACCAGCUUAUGAACAUGCAGCUGGCCCGACAAAAAACAAGGUCCACUUUUUGCCUAAUUUUCAUGCAAAUAAACUUUAAUUAUAAGCCUAUCAAGGCGUGUGAUCAUUAUUUCUUUGGCAUACAUAGGCCGUGGGCUGU